CAGCAGCCGCCACGGUAAUACGGAGGAUCCAAGCGUUAUCCGGAAUCAUUGGGUUUAAAGGGUCCGUAGGCGGUCUUGUAAGUCAGUGGUGAAAGCCCAUCGCUCAACGGUGGAACGGCCAUUGAUACUGCAGGACUUGAAUUAUUGGGAAGUAACUAGAAUAUGUAGUGUAGCGGUGAAAUGCUUAGAGAUUACAUGGAAUACCAAUUGCGAAGGCAGGUUACUACCAAUUGAUUGACGCUGAUGGACGAAAGCGUGGGUAGCGAACAGGAUUAGAUACCCCAGUAGUCCCUGUCUCUUAUAA
rnacentral:rRNA from 1 species